AUUGAACGCUGGCGGCAUGCCUUACACAUGCAAGUCGAACGGCAGCACGGGUGCUUGCACCUGGUGGCGAGUGGCGAACGGGUGAGUAAUACAUCGGAACAUGUCCUGUAGUGGGGGAUAGCCCGGCGAAAGCCGGAUUAAUACCGCAUACGAUCUACGGAUGACAGCGGGGGACCUUCGGGCCUCGCGCUAUAGGGUUGGCCGAUGGCUGAUUAGCUAGUUGGUGGGGUAAAGGCCUACCAAGGCGACGAUCAGUAGCUGGUCUGAGAGGACGACCAGCCACACUGGGACUGAGAAACGGCCCAGACUCAUACGGGAGGCAGCAGUGGGGAAUUUUGGACAAUGGGCGAAAGCCUGAUCCAGCAAUGCCGCGUGUGUGAAGAAGGCCUUCGGGUUGUAAAGCACUUUUGUCCGGAAAGAAAUCCUUGGCUCUAAUACAGUCGGGGGAUGACGGUACCGGAAGAAUAAGCACCGGCUAACUACGUG
rnacentral:rRNA from 1 species